rnacentral:rRNA from 1 species
UGGGGAAUUUUGGACAAUGGGCGAAAGCCUGAUCCAGCAAUGCCGCGUGUGUGAAGAAGGCCUUCGGGUUGUAAAGCACUUUUGUCCGGAAAGAAAUCCUUGGCUCUAAUACAGUCGGGGGAUGACGGUACCGGAAGAAUAAGCACCGGCUAACUACGUGCCAGCAGCCGCGGUAAUACGUAGGGUGCAAGCGUUAAUCGGAAUUACUGGGCGUAAAGCGUGCGCAGGCGGUUUUGUAAGACGGAUGUGAAAUCCCCGGGCUUAACCUGGGAACUGCAUUCGUGACUGCAAGGCUAGAGUAUGGCAGAGGGGGGUAGAAUUCCACGUGUAGCAGUGAAAUGCGUAGAGAUGUGGAGGAAUACCGAUGGCGAAGGCAGCCCCCUGGGCCAAUACUGACGCUCAUGCACGAAAGCGUGGGGAGCAAACAGGAUUAGAUACCCUGGUAGUCCACGCCCUAAACGAUGUCAACUAGUUGUUGGGGAUUCAUUUCCUAGUAACGUAGCUAACGCGUGAAGUUGACCGCCUGGGGGAGUACGGUCGCAAGAUUAAAACUCAAAUGAAUUGACGGGGUCAUAGCUGUUUCCU